UUUAACUGAAAUCCUGGAUCCCAUGCCUCUUUUAAUUCUUCAACCAAAGGCUGCAUGAAUGUAUUUGUCGGAGGCUCUUUGUCCAUGUUUGGUAUAAGUCCAACAAGAAUAAGGUUUUUCCGUUUAAACCUUUCACAUCUAGGCAAAUUCAUUAUAACUAAAUAAAUUGCACCAACAGAAAAAUUGAAAACAUGUUUAAAGGGUGCAAACCAAUCUAGAUUACCAAUAACACCAUAAUUUCUUAGUUUAGUAAAAAAGUCAUGUUCUUCUGCAUUAUUAAAAGACGACCAUAUUUUUCCAUCAUACACAUCACUCAUAACAUCGUCAUGCGUACUUCUGUUUCGCCACUUCUCGUAACUUUCUUCAAAGUUUUUUCUUCCAACUAACUCCUGGAGACUAAUUUUUAAUGGUUUGUAGCAGUAUGUUUUAAAAGAAUAUAACACUGAUUUUCCAUUAAGUGACUGAAUCGUCAUUAAUAACAAUUGGCCACAUUGCUUUCUGUAUUGCUUUAAUCGAUGAUUUGGAUUGGAAACAUGGUUGCAUCGUUUAGAUUCACUCACGCCUCUAAUCAUUUCAAAACAACUUUCAAACUUGUGCAAAGAUUCGCAUUUAAUACAUAUAACAUAUUUUACGAAGCGUUGUUCAUUAAUCUGUAACUUUUUAUGAAGAAGAUACAGAGAUGGUGGUAAAGAUGCCGCUAAUAAUCCAAAGGGAUUUUAAAAAUUUUAGCAGAAGUUCAAGACUGGUAUCUCUAAUACCAAAAGAAUACUGCCAGACAACCAAGUAUAUACAAAGCCAUGUUGCAAAAAUAAUGUUAUGUUUGUUUUCCAAAACUCCGUAAUUGAAGCCGUUUAUUGGUACAUGAAAGUCCUGAAGUAACUCUUCGUACUCCUCAUCUUCUACAAGAUCUUGAUCUAUUUCAUAAUCACCCUCAUCAUUUGUUGUUCUGUUGUUUUCACAAGCAAAAUCAAAAUCAACCUCAGUAUCACUGGUGUUAGAUUGGGUGUCUUUGUCCACUUGCUCGUGUUCGUUGUUUAUAGUACACUUAUGUUGUGAAAAAUAAUGAGAGUAAUAUGAGUCACAACAAAUUCCACAAUACUUUCUCUUUUGAUUCAUAACUUAUCUAAAAAACUAAAUAUAUAUAUAUUUUGCAAAUCAAAUUAAGUAACAUAAAAUUUGCAGAUCGUAAUGAAAUACGGCAUGAUUAAAGCUUUGUAAGAAAGUGAAAAAAGUUAUUUUUUCUGUGUAAGACAGUUUUAACAGUUUUAAUGAACACAGCAAUGUUACAGGUGAAAACUUUUUUAAUAAUUUUAUAACGAAAUAUGUAUUGUUUAGCCUUCGUAGAAAUUUUUUUAACUCUUUCACAGUGACAAAUAAACAAGUUCUUGGUUUUUGGUCAUCAAUCAAUCUUCAACAGAAAAAAAACUAUAGAAAUUAUUAUUUUGUAGAAAAUAUUAGAUCACCUUUUUAACCGACAACCAUGUCGAGUUAUGUUAUCUUUUUUUGGAGUUGCCCACUAAAGUCGUUUUUGUUCUAGCGAAGUUUUGUGUACUUUGCUUGGUAGGACUACAAAUUAUGCAUUAAGUCUGUACAUCAAUUAAUUACGCUAGGAAUAGGAUACUUUAUGCUAUGUUCAACCAUGUUGGAAAAUACCUCACAGAAAAUUUAGCAGAUUUCCAGACGUAACCCUGACCGUACAGAUGUAACCAUAGCCAUAAAACAAAUGAGCCAUAUAUAGUGUAUGUGUUCUGCCCUAUCUUAGGACGCUGCCCAAUCUUUGGACAUAAAAUUGCCUAGUCUUAAGACUGGUCAGCCAGUCUGAAGACUGGGCAGGUCGUCACAAGAUUGGGCAAAAGACCAUGCAUGUUAGGCCCAUCUUUGGCGCCUUUUAGAUUUUAAAGAAGGGAUGUACCACACGAGCUCUGUUUUUUGCAGCUCCCAACAAACAUUCUCAGCCACAUUUAAACAUGAUAUUUUGGGUACCGUUGAAUUGACCCGGUCAGUUUUUGGACACAGUAGAGUGAAAAUCGUAGCUAGUAAGCUAGGUAGCUGGUACAGCACGUGUUAUACACUUAGCAUUUAUAUACAGCUUGUAGUAGUGGCUAAAUUUUCAAAAUAAAAUGUUUAUAUUUAGAUGAAUCGGAAAAAUCGUAUUCAACCAUAUUAUUAGUUAGCUAGCUGUUAAUUUCAUUGGAUGAGAUGUUUAGCCAGCUAGCUAAUAUCAUAGUCUAUAGAAGAAAAACCUUAUAGACUAUGCUAAUAUGGUUGAGUAGUUUAAAUUUUUUAUACAUAAAAUACAUGGUAUAUAUAUAUUUUUGGCCUUUUGAUUUUCCAAGAAAAGUUUCAAUUUAAAGUUCCUAUUAAGAGGCAAAUUCUAAAUAUUUUAUUGUUCUGUUUGUCUUCCACAAUUGUUCUAAGAUUGGGCAUGUACGUCCAUAGAUUGUGCAGUCCAAUCUUAAGACUGGCCACCCAUUUGUCGGAAGAUUGGCCUGGCCAGUCUUAAGACGGGGCGCGUUCCAAGAUUAGGCAGAACAUAUGCGCUUUCAAAUCAAAACAAGCAAAAGAUAAUAUCUUCCGACACAAAUGAUAUAACCAAAAAUAUAUUUGGGGCUUAAAAGGUUGAUCAGAUAGGUUAUUUUCAGCUAAAAAAAUUGGUUGGAGUGUGCAAUUGAAUGGUGACAGACAGAAAAAACUAUAUUGAUAGCCUAGUUAGAAGAGAUAAAUCGCCUAAGUGCCUGGAGCUAUAGCUACACAAAAAACGAACAGACACAAAGAAACAAAGAAGCACACACAUAUAUAUAAAAAGGAUAAAUUAAAAAGGACAAAAUAAAAAUGGAUAAAAAAAAUUAAAAACAGAAACAAAAAUUAGUAUGCCAGCCAUAACUCACUCAACUCGACUCGCAGAAGCCUCCUCCGUAUAGCUCUUAAAACAAUUGACCCUCACUCGCCGCAUUUAGCUAAUAGGGGAUAUUAAAUAUUGAUUUAGGUAAACGGUGACCACGUACGCAGAAAGUACCUCAGGUGAAAGCGGUCUUUCAGUAACUGUUUUUUGGCGCCAACAAACAGGAACAAGCGUGAGUUGAGGGAGGAAAUAAAGUUAAGCUAGCUAAAGUAUUUAUCUUAAUUAUAUAUAAUCGUCAUGGCGUCACAAAAGCUAUUUAAAAAAACAAACGUAAACAUUCCAAAACGUCACAGCAAAUGGAAGAGCACAGUCCUUCUACAACGAAGAAAUCAACACCACACAGCAGCAGCAACAGAUCUCUGUUUUGUGCUUCACCUAGCCAAGUAAAUUUCUCUAGCAUCAGCAGAAUCAAUGAAACAGAAAGCAAUUCAUCGUCUUCAACAAGGUCUUUAUUUUUUUAAGAUGAAAACAGAGAAGUACUUAAUGAAGAAAGACAAGAAAUGUCAUCUUCUUGUGAGUUUUUAUUCAUUAUCUAAACUACCCAACAUAAAUUUGUUUUAUGUGCCUUGUCCUUCACCGUCAAUCCUUAAUUUUUUAGCUUUGGCAUUACAAGACAAAAUAAAGAUGUUGGAAAAUCGUUUGAAUACCCUACAACAGCAAUGUGAUGAAGGGUUUGCUAAUUCAAAACGCAAACAAAAAGUAUUCGUUCCAAACAAAGUUAAGUUAUGUAGCUAGCUAGCUAGCUAGCUAGUGUUUAUUUCUUAGGUCUAAUUCUGUACAAUUUUAAAAAAUCCUCUGCCUGGACUGACUGCUAAUAGAUAGCUACGUAUUUUUUUCUAGUAUCUGACAAGGAUUGGGUACAGAGAAGGUAUAAGAAAGGAGAAAUCUUGGGAAUUUGAUACAGGAAUGAGUCCUUUCGGUGAUGUCAAUACGGACAUGACAGAAUACAUUAAAAAUUAUGUAAAGGGUCUUCGGCCGGCUGAAGCAGUAGCGUCUUAAACGCUGCCAUUGCAACGUUUUUUACUUCGAAAUCCACAACUUCCAGAAAGGACAAAAAAAUUGGAAAGGACGAACGCUUAAAAAGACAAGCAAGAUAUCAGCGAAAAGUGAAUAAAUGUAGAAUACGUAGACGAACCGUCCAAAACAAGGAGGUAGCGAUGUCUGAUCAUGACAGAGAAACAUUUUUAAAAGUCAUCAAACCAGAGUGGCCUUUUCAGAAAGCGAGGCAGAGGAUAAUGGCGAGAUUGUUUUCAAACGAUAUCCAAUAUCAUGGAGAAGCAAACGACUUGUCAAAGGUCUACAUAGUCUGGAUAAGGAAACCAAAAAAAUAAUAUCUAACACAGCCCAGAGACAAUAUGUGCAGGGAAUAACAGGUGAAACAGUGGAGAAGUCUGUUCAUAAGAAUCUUGCGAGUGAUUUGUUGUGGAUAAAAUCAUAAACUUUGUUUAGGAUUAUAUGGUUGCUUUUAUAGUUAUUGUUAAUGCUAAUAUUAUGAUUUCUUUUCUUUGCUUUCCUCAACAAGAACUUU